GACGAACGCUGGCGGCGUGCUUAACACAUGCAAGUCGAGCGGUAAGGCCCUUUCGGGGGGUACACGAGCGGCGAACGGGUGAGUAACACGUGGGUGACCUGCCCUCAGCUCUGGGAUAAGCCUGGGAAACCGGGUCUAAUACCGGAUAUGACUCCAUGACGCAUGUUGUGGGGUGGAAAGCCUUGUGCGGCUGAGGAUGGGCCCGCGGCCUAUCAGCUUGUUGGUGGGGUGAUGGCCUACCAAGGCGACGACGGGUAGCCGGCCUGAGAGGGCGACCGGCCACACUGGGACUGAGACACGGCCCAGACUCCUACGGGAGGCAGCAGUGGGGAAUCUUGCGCAAUGGGCGAAAGCCUGACGCAGCGACGCCGCGUGAGGGA
rnacentral:rRNA from 1 species